CUCUUAGAGGGGGAGACACACAGGGAGACACAAAGCAGAGCCGUGACUCCAGGUUAGGGGCUGUGGUGGUCACCUCUCCCUAAGCCACCAACGGGUUUCGGCAGUUUUCCACCUCAAACACAUACAUGAACCAGGGCUCAGAAUAAAUUAGAGCCCCCCCGCCCCAAGCCUAUAAAGCUCCCUCCCCCGGCUACAGCCUCCCUCUUCCCUCCCGAACCAAUAAUUCUGCCUAUCCCCUACAGGAAAAAUGGCUGUGUUUCCUGAAGCAAAAAUCAAGCCACCUGGGUCAACAAAGAAGUUUUGUUUUAAGAAGCAGGUUCAGAAACUGUGGCUUGGUACUCCACAUGCUGGUACUCGAAAGACAUUCCAGUGUUUAUAGAGAUAGUGGGAUGGAAGGUUGAAAACAGAACCUUCUGUUUGGAAUGUCUGAUCUCACAGGACCCUGUGGAAUGGACAUAAGGGGAUACAGGAAGACGGAAUAACUUCAAGUCUGUCCAGGCAAUUGGCUUACGAAUAGCUGGGCUUGCCCUAUCCACACCCAACCAGCUGGGGCCUCUCGCGGUGCGAAGUCCUAACUGUUGACAGGCUGCGUCCUUCACAGGUGUGUGGACUUCAGCACACAGGCUCAGUCACAGUCAUUCCAUGAAUAUCUACAGACCACCCACCAUGUGCCAGGAAAGUGCCAGGCAGUGGGUGCACAGGAGCAAACCAGAAAACAAGACAGACAUGCUCUUAAGGCUGCUUCCCAAGAGGAUGAAUAGAAGGUGGCCAGGCAAAGGGAUGGAGGCAGUGAGAACAGCGUUCCAGGAAGAGGGAAGAGAGUAAGCACUCUCAGAAGGGAAAGAGCAGGAUGCCCUCCAGGGUGCGUGGGCCUGGGCCGAGGGACAAAGACAAUGGGCUUGACUGCCCCUCCCUGUCUGACAGUUCUUACCUGCUGGUUGGGGGGAGGGGGGAGGCUUUUUGGGGACAACCCUCCUUUUCCUGUGCUUCUUCACCAGCUCUGGACUCUGUUUUUCCUCCAGCCUUUUGAUGAGUUUGUUGAGAGUGGAUGUCAGGGCCAGCAUU